UUCUGAGAUGAAGCUUAAACAGAAAUGGAGAAAAAGAGGUGAAAAGACACACAACUAAUCGCCUUAGUGCGUGAAUGAUUCUAGAACUACUUGUGAAUGCCCUAAUGUUGCUGCAGUGUCUGUUUCCAUUAAAGGAGAUGAGAAAGGAUCUUUUGUACAUAGAGAAAGUGAGGGAUUUAUUGUUCUGUCCCAGUUGGGCAGGUCACAAAUGACAUUUUUAAUGGGGAAUCUAAACUCCCCAGUUUGAAUUUACAAAAUGGGGAAACUGUUUGAAUAUUCUUGGAAGAGUUCUUAAGUAAGACUGGUAGAAAUAGUCUGCAGGUCCAUAUAAAGUUAUAUAAUAAUAGAACAAUACAAAAAUUGCAUUUUUCCUGUCGUUGCUGUUAGAUUAAUGCUUUGCCUCUUGAAACCCGCUGAGAAGUAGGAAGGGGAGAUGCAAAGAAAACAAGCUUUGUUUUUCAGGAAUCAUGGUUGUUCAGGUAGAUUCAAAUUAAUUAUAUAAAUUAUUAAUAUACGUUCCUUUCUAUUUUCUAAAUAUUUAAUAUUUUAAUUAAAAUAAUUGGUACUCAUUUACAAGAGGUGGCUGAUAUAAUUAGAUUGAUAGUGAUUAUUACCUUGGAAUGCUAUUGAAUUAAUGUUGACAGAUAGGGUAAGUGAAUUCAUUCAACAGUCGUCUAAAUCGUGUGGUAGCUGAUGAGAACGCGUACUUAAGAAUAGGUAACAUUAAGAUAAUAUUGAUUACUUCAUUCCAGGUUACAAAUGAUAUGAUGUAGACUGCUCAGCUAAGUAAUUCAGGCUGGAAGGUCUGGACUUUCAUGAGAUGAGCAGAAUCGUCCUGCAGAAUUACGUGACAUUUUCUCACAUCAGAGAGAUUGAAUAAAUUGCCUUUGAAAUGCUUUGGCCUCUCUUGACUCAGAAAGCCUUUUUAUAAGCUUUCAAAUUAACUGCGACUGAUUUGGGAGCUGGCAUCUGCUGUUGUACGCUUGUAAGAAAGGAAGGAACUUCUCACUUUUCUGAGAGCUGGGUAGUUAUGGCUGGGCGGGAUUCAGAUACAGCUGGAUGCAGGGAAUCGGCCUUGCCCUGCUGCCGGGGGUGUCCUGCUCCAGUGUCAGAUGCCCCUUGGGUGCAGCACCCGUGAUUUGUCCUCCUUCCAACGUAGGUUUAGAAGCAGGAGUGGGGACCUGCUCCCUUCCCGUGGAAGCUGCAGACAGCCUGGGAGCUGGACACGGCAAGAAGCAACAUCUGAGUCAUUGGGGUCUCAUCAGACAGCCAUGGCUGCCAGUCACUUCAGAGUUCCUCGGCGGCCAUUUCAAAAAGUUUAACUCAGUACAGGUCUACAGGAAAAAAAAGUCUUAAAAGUUGUCUGUAAGUUGUAUGUGUACAAGUAUGAGUCUUGUUAGGUUCCUUGUUUCCUCUAUGACUUAAAAUCAGAGAAGAGGAGAUGGGCAUUCAGAUUAUUUUGUCCUCAUUUUACUCUUCUAGCAGUGUCUGGUUUUCUUACAUAAGUGUUUUACAGUAGAAUUAAAAAAUCUGUACCAGUGUAGGUUUUCACAUGAAGAUAAUAACCCGGAUAAUUGAUCCACAAUUUUUUUUGACUUCGUAGUGGGUCAAACAGACAAACUGGCUGUAAAUUGGAAUUGCAAAUUUAUCAGGAUUUCCACUUGUUUGUAUGUCACUGACACCUUCCUUGCAGCAUUUGUUUGGUACUUGUGUGAAUAUUGUCAGCUUGUAGUGUUUUGUAAGCGUGGUAGGUGUUACUGUGUUUUCAGUGCGUUUCCACUAUCAACACUAUAAACACUGCCAACUUUCCACAAGUGCUGUCAAGUACCAUAUUUUGUAAUUACUGCAAUAAUAUUAUGAGUGCUGUAAUUGCCUAUACUGUAUGGAUGUGCUUUUCUGUUCUGUGUAGACAUAAAAUUGGUAUUUUUCUGUGAGUUAAAACGGAAUCUGGAGCACAUCUAAAUAAUUGUUGCAGAAUUGUUUUUUCACCUUUCGGCAUCGUAUGAGGUAUCUGCACAAGUGAUAUACAAAUUGAAGGAUUUUUAAAGCCCCAGAUUUGUAUGUAGCAUGUCUGAAUAUACAGCUAAUGUGUUUGAACCCAUUAAAGGAUCAAGGCUCUUUUAUACAGUUCGCUAAUAGUAGUGUGAGUUAAUCAACUGUGUUUUUGCAAGAAGCUCAACCUCAAAUUUCAACUUCAUAAUCUUGUAUUUAGCACCAUUUUUCUUUUUUUUUUUUUUUUUUUUCUGGCAUUCAUAAUGCUGAAAGCUUUGGCUGUCCACUGAAGCUGAUUCUGCCUACAGCUAUAUAUCUUCUAAUUGAUAGCUUACUGUUAAUACUGCAGCCCACUCCUUGGAAUACACUGAGCAGAAAAUUUCUCCUGUAAUAUUUUUAUUUCCGUGCCUGUUAAUUAAAAAUCACAUUUUUGAAGGCUGUGAUUUGGAAAAACUUAAGUCUGACAAAAUGCUGGACUUCCUGGUUUUUAAAGGUUAAUUCCAAAAGUAAUGUUAAUGAGAUUUUUCUUUAAUGAAAUGAUCAUUAUGCUAGAACUAAGUUACAAGCAAUCUUGCGAGUAGACUUAACUAAGUUUUAUAUCUUAAGGCUUAGUGAUAUGUGAGGAGCUUAAUAUGCUCUUGUUAAUAUGCUCCAUUUUUUGUUGUUGUUAUUCUUGCAAGGAUAUUAGUGAAAAACAGACCAGAAUAAGGCAAAAGACAGCAUGAUGCCCUUUUUUUUUCUCUUAACUAGCUAAACCUGUAGAAUACCUUCUAAAUAGAUCUUGCACCAUCUUCCAAGAAUGACUAGCAACUGAUCCAUAAAAAGUAGAUGUUUAUUCUCUUGCUACAUGGGAAUUCCUGAACAAUAUGAAAUGGAUAGUUUUAUGCUUUUUUUUUCUUUUUUUCUUCUGGAGUUAUUCUGUUGCAUAAUUUAGAGGAAGUGGGCAGAUGAUUAGGUCACUGCAGCGUUCUCUGAUUUGUUUUCCCAUUUUUCUGAGGCCUGGUAGGAGGGUGAGACUUGAGACAUCUCCCCAUCACCGUUGCUUCUUUUGAGAUGGCCUGACUGAAGGUACGGAAUUGUGCUGGUGGUAUUAAUGUCUGCAUGGAGUGAAUCAGAGCAAUUGGUUUAUCUUCCGUAGACCACCAAACAUCAGUUAGCACGUAAUCAGUCUCUUGCCUUUUACAGUUGCAUGGUGGAAGGCACAUGGGCUGUAUAAUUGAAUUGAGUUUAAAUAGUACAUACAAAUAUAAUAAAUAUUUGAAUAUUAUAUUUGCAAUCUUUCAGGGUUUGGCACCUUCAAACUUCAGGCUGCAGUGCCCUCAUAACAUAGUCAGCUGAUUUUUGACUUCGUUGAUACAUCAGAAGUGUCCUUCAUCAGACUGCAGUUCUUGAAGCGUACGCGUGAUGGCAGCAAAUACUCAAAUUUAUAAGGCACGUUCCCAUACCAGAAACAAGCAGGGCUUUGUAUUUUCUGAUACAAAGUUGGAUUUUCACAGAUUCAAUUCUUGUUAAAAUAUGUACUGAAAUGCAUAUUGAAAGUCAUUAAACUACUGCUUCAGAUUUUGAGAAGGCUUUUUAAUUCAAAAAAUGGUCUGUGCUUUCCACCUGGUGUAGCCUUAAUAGUCUCUUGUGGUGCUUUCUGGUUUUGACGUGCAUUGGGGUAGUUUGCUACCCCAGCAGCAAAGGCUGCUACCAGCCUGAGUAGUUUGCAGUGUUUAGUGAUGAUCCCUCUGAUUCCUUGUCACAGAAAGGGGCACCUACACCACCCUUUUAUCCCUUAAAGUGUUUGCCUGGCUCGCUACCCUCUGGCUCCCUGUUGGUGCUGUAGUUUGCUUUUCUGAAGCCUGUUGUUGUUUUUCUCUGUUUGAGAAAUGUCUUCUCUCUCUGCAACGAUGUCCCAUGUAAUCCGUUCCUACCCUCCCUUUUUUACAGAGCUGGUCUCUCAUUUUGGUAGGAUUUUCAUUCAGAUCGCUUUUCACAAUUGGAUUUGCAGUUGAGUCAAACCUGUUACAGAAAACCAGCCUAACAUAAACACCCUGCGCCAGCUUCCGGUAUAUUUAUGUAAAAAAAAUCCUCAUCACCUUCUAGGAAUUUAAUAGAUUGCCAGCGUGUGACUAUACUUUCACAGCAGACGUUGAUGUGGUAAGAGUCCCUUUUUUCCUGGAGUUGGAAAGUUCUGGCAGUUCUUCGAAGUAUUUUUUCCUCAUCGUUUUGCGAUUAAAUGGUCCAACAUAAUAGGUUUUCCUCUGUUGUUCCUUUUAAGCCUUGACGGCACAUUUAUUACCUUAAAUACUUUAAUUUUCGUGUAUUCUUUAAUAGAUGAAUGUUUUUGGCAUACCGUGUCGUAUUUUUUUUUUUCCCUUGACAGUCAUUCUCUCCAAGUUCUCACCUUGUAAUCUAGACCACUACCAGGUUUUUACAGCAGGUGUUCUCUGCCCAGUGGAAAGACCCCGAGUGCUUCCAUACCCGAACGUGCCUUGGCUGCAUCCUGGGCUCUGCUGAGAUGAGAUUGCUGUGCACAGCAGCUCUCAGCUUUCCACCUGGGGGCUGGCAGGGGGGUGGGAUGUGCUGUAACCGCGUCCCCAGAGGAGCGAUGAGGACGCCAGGGCUCAGUUGGAGCCCAACACUUUCUUCGAGCCUGGUUUGCGUUUACCAACAGCAGACUCACGUAGUUUUUAAGCCUAGCAAUCGAAUGGUUGUGGAUGUUGGAAGUCAGCGUUGGGUAAUUGUAGUCAGAUAACCAUCCAGUUCUUGGGCUGCAGAUCUGGUGUCAGGUGUCCUUUUUCAGUGACAUCAAAGCACACCUUUUCUUGCUCCCGGGGUGUCGGGAAGGAGGUGACUAACACUGUAGCUUCCUGACCUGGUUCCAUCCUACUGGUCUGGCAACUGAGAAGAGUCAUGAAAAAUCCCAGUCAGCCACAGUAGGCCACAGCAUAGUAUGCCUGGAGGGGAUGGAGCCUCAGUACAUAGGCACAAAUCUUUUUUAAUUAGUCUAGUUUAUUUAAAGGAUUCACUGAGUUUUAAAUUGGUCAUGUUUCUGGAAGCGUAGCCCAAUAUGGGUAUGGUCUUCACCAAAAAAAACCAACCAACAACAACAACAAAAACAACAACAACAACAAAAAAUAAUUUUAGACUCUGUUGCAAAGUACAUUGGUAUUGCAUGGUGUUUUUAAGAGUAGGAAGUUUUCUUCAAAAGGAAAAUAUAAUUUUAAAAGUAUAUUUGUUCCUGCUUUCAUUCCUGGAAAUGGCUGAAACAUUUAAACUGAAUAUUGGACUUUUUUCUUGCCCAUUCCAGAAUGAACACAGGCAUGUGUCAGUGGACCACCGUGAUAUUUUAGACCAAAGAGCUGUAGUCUGACACAGAUACAGGAACUGUGGCUUGUGAGAAAAGCAGAGAUCAGUUUUAGGCUGUGGUACAAGCACACUUGUGUAUUCUGGCUCGUGUUGAAAUGACUUACCUUGCUCUGUGUAUGUGCUUUAUUUACAGGAGUUUAAAUUUGGUUUAACGCUUAGAAUUCAUUUUAAGGUGUACAGCAAAACAUGAUAUCCAGUUGCUUUCUUGACCUCCUGAAUUUUUAAAUCCAGUUGAUUGUUCUCAGUGAAGCGUACUGGCAAGCUUUCUAACACCCAUUGUGGUGGGUCAUGGUAAGGAUUUGAGAGCCAUGAUGUGAAGAGUUUUAAUUAAAUAACAAACGCAUAUUGUGUCCUUAGUGGUUUACAGGGAUGAGAUCUUGUGUAGCUGUGUUUUUUUUCCGCCGGUUCUGCUGCGGAUUGACUAGUGAAAAGCAAUUUAAUGGGCAGUGUUAACAAUGUCACUGGUUCACGGCAAUUCCACCAUCCUUAUAACAUAACUGAAAGAAUUUACAUUGUUAAGAAAAAACAUCGUGUGCUCAGUCGAGAAGGAAAUGAAAGAUACUUUGUGAAUAAUAACAAUACUGAUUUAUUUACUUUUUUCUUGUUGAAUCUGAUUUCUGCUGAGUGCCUGUCUGCCAGCAGAUGCCACUCCAAAGCAGGAGACUAGAUUCCCCAAAAUGGACCAGAUAGAGGAAAACAGUUGUGGUGGACCUUGUUUUUUCUUAUAAAUGUUGAUGGCAGUUUGCCUGGUGUUGCCCUUCUUUUCCUUGAUAAGAACAGCUUAUGCCGUAAACAAUUAAAUAUUUAUCUUUUAAAGAGGAGCUGGUUAAAGUUUUGUUUCCUGCUGAUGCGUUAAAUCCCAUGGCAGGGGAGAUGGCAAUACGCAGAAUAAAUUGCUUUUGUUCUUCCGUGUGGAGGUGUAGUGCACUACUUUGGUUGCGUAGGUGGUGACCCAGAACUCCUGGGGCUCAAGAAGCAUCUUUAUGGAGGGCUUCUGUGUGGUACAGAGGUGCCUGUGUCAAGAUUGCUGAAAGCCUGUAGCAAGGCAGGUGACUGAGAAGCCCAGGUCGCAAUGAGUUUCAGCAGGACCUGUCCAUAUAAAACUUUUAGAGGCACGUUGAAAAAAGCUGGCCAAGUUGUAAGCCUAUCUGCCAAGAAAGUACUAGGAAGCAGUGCCCUGAAAAUAAGGAAUCCUAGGCAAGAGUACUCUUGUCUUUUCUAAUUUUGGGACGGGAUUUUGGGAUAAAUUUGGGAGGAGGGGAGGGGAUUCAUUUGAUGAGAUGUCCUUGGUUGUGAAUAAUGCCAUUUUGCUAUCUCCAAACUUUAAACAAAAAUACAUGCACCGUUUUUUUUUU